CCUACGGGUGACAGCAGUGAGGAAUAUUGGUCAAUGGACGAGAGUCUGAACCAGCCAAGUAGCGUGAAGGAUGACUGCCCUAUGGGUUGUAAACUUCUUUUAUAUGGGAAUAAAAUGUUCCACGUGUGGGAUUUUGUAUGUACCAUAUGAAUAAGGAUCGGCUAACUCCGUGCCAGCAGCCGCGGUAAUACGGAGGAUCCGAGCGUUAUCCGGAUUUAUUGGGUUUAAAGGGAUCGUAGGUGGAUUGUUAAGUCAGUUGUGAAAGUUUGCGGCUCAACCGUAAAAUUGCAGUUGAAACUGGCAGUCUUGAGUACAGUAGAGGUGGGCGGAAGUCGUGGUGUAGCGGUGAAAUGCUUAGAUAUCACGAAGAACUCCGAUUGCGAAGGCAGUUCACUGGACUGCAACUGACACUGAGGCUCGAAAGUGUGGGUAUCAAACAGGAUUAGAUACCCCAGUAGUC
rnacentral:rRNA from 1 species